CUGACAUACAGUUAAAGCAAUCCCCAGUUAUGUGAGAUUUUGCAAUAAGUGUGGGUUGUGAAAUUACAGGAACUAAGUGAAUUACUUUAUUUUAAAAUAAAACUAAUUGAGUUAUUGACACAUCCAGAAUCAUGUACUGUAUAUAAUGGAAAACGAACUCAGAAAACUUUAUUCAAAAAAGAUUUUUGCCAGUGCUUACACUGAACUAUGGCCUAUUUUAAAGUCGAAUCUUUAUUUCUGAUAACAUUGGUUAUCGGACUAUUUUGUGCUAGUAUGAUCCAAAGUGCUCCAUAUCCAACAGGCA